AGCAUCUCCUUGUCUGCAAGUAAUAGGCAACAAGCUUAUCAUUGGUUUUCCUCCAUGCAUCAAAAUUAUCUUUGUGAUACCAUUCUCGAGUGGAAAUUUGGGUUGAGCUUGAGCUUAGGCACAACAAGGGUUUACAUUUGGCUGAGUUCCUGAGAAGUGAUUUUCAUUCAUAUGUGCUGGGAGGCGGUUGCAAUUUAGCUGCAACUUCUGUACAGCCGAACUGU
rnacentral:lncRNA from 1 species